rnacentral:rRNA from 1 species
CCCUUAGAUGUCCGGGGCUGCACGCGCGCUACACUGAAGGAAUCAGCGUGCUAAAACCAUUGUCGAAAGGCAUUGGUAAACCCAUUAAAAUCCUACGUGAUUGGGAUCGGGAAUUGCAAUUAUUUCCCUUGAACGAGGAAUUCCCAGUAAGUGUGGGUCAUAAGCUCGCGUUGAUUACGUCCCUGCCCUUUGUACACACCGCCCGUCGCUGCCCGGGACUGAGCCGUUUCGAGAAACGCGGGGACUGCUGCUGUCGGGGCUUUCGGGCCUUGGCUUCGGUGGAAACCGCUUUAAUCGCAGUGGCUUGAACCGGGCAAAAGUCGUAACA